UCCCGCACAAGCGGUGGAGCAUGUGGUUUAAUUCUGAAGCUACGUCGCAGAACCUUACCAUCCUUUGACAUGGCGUGUUACCCAGAGAGAUUUGGGGUCCACUUCGGUGGCGUCGCACACAGGUGCUGCAUGGCUGUCGUCAGCUCGUUUCGUGAGAUGUUGGGUUAAGUCCCGCAAUCGAGCGCAACCCACGUCCUUAGUUGCCAUCAUUCAGUUGGGCACUCUAGGGAGACUGCCGGUGAUAACCGCGAGGAAGGUGUGGAUGACGUCAAGUCCUCAUGGCCCUUACGGGAUGGGCUACACACGUGCUACAAUGGCGUGUGACAGUGGGACGCGAAGGAGCUGAUCUGGAG
rnacentral:rRNA from 1 species